GUUGAUAGGUUAAGAGCUGAUUAACUGGACGUUACCCACAGAAGAAGCACCGGCUAACUCCGUGCCAGCAGCCGCGGUAAUACGGAGGGUGCGAGCGUUAAUCGGAAUUACUGGGCGUAAAGGGUGCGUAGGUGGUUUGAUAAGUUAUCUGUGAAAGUCCCGGGCUUAACCUGGGGAGGUCAGAUAAGACUGUUGAGCUAGAGUAUAGGAGAGGGUAGUGGAAUUUCCGGUGUAGCGGUGAAAUGCGUAGAGAUCGGAAGGAACACCAGUGGCGAAGGCGGCUACCUGGCCUAAUACUGACACUGAGGCACGAAAGCGUGGGGAGCAAACAGGAUUAGAUACCCUGGUAGUCCACGCCGUAAACGAUGUCAACUAGCUGUUGGUUAUAUGAAAAUAAUUAGUGG
rnacentral:rRNA from 1 species